UACGUAGGGCGCAAGCGUUGUCCGGAAUUAUUGGGCGUAAAGAGCUCGUAGGCGGCUUGUCACGUCGGUUGUGAAAGCCCGGGGCUUAACCCCGGGUCUGCAGUCGAUACGAGCAGACUAGAGUGUUGCAGGGGAGACUGGAAGUUCCUGGUGUAGCGGUGAAAUGCGCAGAUAUCAGGAGGAACACCGGUGGCGAAGGCGGGUCUCUGGGCAACAACGUGACGCUGGAGGAGCGAAAGCGUGGGGAGCGAACAGGAAUUAG
rnacentral:rRNA from 1 species